UCCGUAGGUGAACCUGCGGAAGGAUCAUUCACAAGAUUAUAUUUUAUAUUACUUUGUGGAACAUUUGGUUGAAUUUACAUGUUUUAUUACAAAAAAUUAAUUAUAAUUAAAAAAAUAAUUUUAAGAAAACCUCCAACAACGGAUCUCUUGGUUCCCAGAUCGAUGAAGAGCGCAGCGAAUUGCGAAAUGUGAUGUGUAUUGCAGUGAAUCAUCAAUUCUUGAACGCACAUGGCACCCCUUUUAGGGGUAUGCUUGUAUGAGGGUGUUUAAUAUGAAAUUGCUUUGGCUUUUUUUAAAUAAAUGGUUUUUCAAAUUGUUACUAAUAGACGAAAGAAUCAGUGCAACAAGCUGUGUUGAAUCUUUCAUUAAAUCUUUUAGUUAACUACUUUAACUAUUUGCACCUCAUAUCAAGCAAGACUACCCGCUGAACUUAAGCAUAUCAAUAAGCGGAGGA
rnacentral:rRNA from 1 species